UACGUAGGGGGCGAGCGUUGUCCGGAAUCAUUGGGCGUAAAGCGCGUGUAGGCGGCCCGGUAAGUCCGCUGUGAAAGUCCAGGGCUCAACCCUGGGAUGCCGGUGGAUACUGUCGGGCUCGAGUCCGGAAGAGGCGAGUGGAAUCCUGGUGUAGCGGUGAAAUGCGCAGAUAUCAGGAGGAACACCAAUGGCGAAGGCAGCUCGCUGGGACGGUACUGACGCUGAGGCGCGAAAGCGUGGGGAGCAAACAGG
rnacentral:rRNA from 1 species